rnacentral:rRNA from 1 species
UACGUAGGGGGGCAAGCGUUUGUCCGGAUUUAUUGGGCGUAAAGAGCUCGUAGGUGGUUCGGUAAGUCGGAUGUGAAAUCUCCAGGCUCAACCUGGAGGGGUCAUUCGAUACUGCCGUGACUAGAGGUCGGUAGGGGAGUGUGGAAUUCCUGGUGGAGCGGUGAAAUGCGCAGAUAUCAGGAGGAACACCCGUAGCGAAGGCGGCACUCUGGGCCGAUACUGACACUGAGGAGCGAAAAGCGUGGGGAGCGAACAGG